rnacentral:misc_RNA from 1 species
AACGCACAUUGCGCCCCCUGGUAUUCCGGGGGGCAUGCCUGUCCGAGCGUCAUUGCUGCCCUCAAGCACGGCUUGUGUGUUGGGCCCCCGUCCCCGCCUCACCGCGGGGACGGGCCCGAAAGGCAGCGGCGGCACCGCGUCCGGUCCUCGAGCGUAUGGGGCUUUGUCACCCGCUCUUGUAGGCCCGGCCGGCGCCUGUCGACACCAACCCCAAUUUUUCUAAGGUUGACCUCGGAUCAGGUAGGGAUACCCGCUGAACUUAA